rnacentral:rRNA from 1 species
AAAUUAGUUUUAUCAGGUAAAGCGAAUGAUUAGAAGCUCGUGGGAUGAAACAUCCUCGACUUAUUCUCUAAACUUUAAAUAGGUAAGAUGACUGUAGUACUUAAUUGACUAUCAGUCUCUUUAAUAGAAAGUUCUUAGGUGGGCCAUUUUUGGUAAGCAGAACUGGCGAUGUGGGAUGAACCAAACGUAAAGUUAAAGUGCCUAAAAGUACGUUCAUCAGACACCACAAAAGGUGUUGAUUCAUCUUGACAGUUGGACAGUGGCCAUGGAAGUCGGAAUCUGCUAAGGAGUGUGUAACAACUCACCAACCGAAUGAAUUAGCCCUGAAAAUGGAUGGCGCUUAAACGUAUUACUUAUACUUUACCAUUAAGAUAAAUGCUAAAUCUUAAUGAGUAGGAGGGC